ensembl:lncRNA
CAGGAGCAGGCUGAAUGAAACAGAUGAGACAAAAAAGGGCCACCGCCUUAGUCAUGGCCCUCAGGCAGAUGAACUUCCAUGGCUCUAAAAGAAAGAAGGGUGGCUACUUCUUGGCUCUGCGAGGCCCAGGUGGCUCUGCAGCAGCCUCUGCCACCCUGUGACCUGCGGGUAUUGGGACAUCCCUAGCUGACACCAGGACACCCGGGAAGCCGAGGAAUGGACUCCGUGGCAUUUGAGGAUGUGGCUGUGAACUUUACCCAGGAGGAAUGGGCUUUGCUAGAUUCUUCUCAGAAGAAUCUCUACAGAGAAGUGAUGCAGGAAACCUGCAGGAACCUGGCUUCUGUAGACGCAUGAAAGGACUCACACUGGAGAAAGACCCUAUAAAUGUACCAAAUGUGACAAAGCCUUCAGCUGUUCCACUUCCCUUCGUUACCAUGGAAGCAUUCAUACUGGAGAGAGACCCUAUGAAUGUAAACAAUGUGGCAAAGCCUUUAGUCGUUUGAGUUCCCUUUGUAACCACAGAAGUACUCAUACUGGAGAGAAACCCCAUCAAUGUAAACAAUGUGACCAAGCCUUCAGUCACCUCAGUUCCCUUCACCUCCACGAAAGAAUUCAUACUGGAGAAAAACCCUAUGAAUGUAAGAGAUGCGGUAAAGCCUACACUCGUUCCAGUCACCUUACUCGCCAUGAAAGAAGUCAUGAUAUAGAGGCUGGGUGUGGUGACUCAGCCUGUGGUCCCAGUCCUUUGGGAGGCCAAGGUGUGUAUAUUGCUUGAGCCCAGGAGUUCAUAGCCGGCCUGGAUUAAAACAAUGUGAAACAACCUGGGCAACAUGGUGAAACCCUGUCUCUACAAAAAAUAAAAUAAUGCCGGGUGCGGUGGCUCACACUGGCUGCUCAGGAGGCUGAGGCAGGAGAAUGGCAUGAACCCAGGAGGCAGAGCUUGCGGUGAGCCAAGAUCGCACCACCGCACUCCAGCCUGGGCGACAGAGCGAGACUCCGUCUCAAAAAAAAUAAAUAAAUAAAAAAUAAUUAGCUGGGCAUGGUGGCACAUUUCAGUUGUCUUAGCUCUUUUUCAAGGACAUAAAAAGCCAUGGGGGGUUGGGGGGAAGCCCUGUGCAUGCGGAUCACAAGGUCAGGAGAUCGAGACCAUCCUGGCCAACUUGGUGAAACCUCGUCUCUACUAAAAAUAUAAAAAUUAGCUGGGUGUGGUAGCAUAUGCUUGUAGUCCCGGUUACUCAGGAGGCUGAGGCAGGAGAAUCGCUUGAGUCCAGGAGGCGGAGGUUGCAGUGAGCCGAGAUUGUGCCACUGCACUCCAGCCUGGCGACAGAGUGAAAUUCCAUCUCAAAAAAUAAAUAAAUAAAUAAAGCUCCUUGAAUGUAAGAAAUGUGGUAAAACAUUUACUGUUUCCCAUUCCCUCAUAAACAUGAACGAGCUCACACUGCAGAGAAACCUUAAGAAUGCAGGAAAUGUGGUCAAGACUUCAGAUUUUCCUGUUUUUGAAGAUUUGGGAGGACUCAGAGUGGAGAAAAGCCUUUUGAAUUUAAAUUUGUGGUAAGGCCUUCAGUUGUGUUAGUUCCAUUUGAAGACAUCAGCUCAUUCCUGAGAAAAACCCUAUGAAUGUCCAGAAUGUGGGAAUGUUUCAUUUCUCUCAUACCCUCUCAAGGACAUAUGAAAAUGCACACUGUAGCUGGCUGGACCUUGUAAAUACAAGAAUGUACACAGGAUUAAAACUCUAAUAGUUUAGAAACUGCAAGAAUAUUGUCAGUUUUAACAUUUACUUGAAAAGUCAAGUGAAAACUCCCACUGGAAAGAAGUUCUAUAAGUGAAGCUUUUCUAAUUUGGAAAGCCUCAUGCAAAUUAAUUAUUGUGCAGUGCUUGAAAAAAAUGUAUGAAAUGUUACACAAAUUACAAGUAUAUUGUUUUUAUCAGUGGCUCAUUCUUAAAGAGUCGUGAGUGUGCAUUUCACCUUGUUUUGCAGGGAAACCUUGAGGUGAGAGUUCUGUAAAUGCUCUUUAAGCAGUAGUACUUGAAUUUCAUAGAUAAUGAUAUUUUCUUAAGUUUGUUGGUAGAAUUUUUGUCUAGUCAUUUGAUAAUGUGCUGGAUUCAUGGUUGAAUUUUGAUGUUUUUCUAAUAUGUAGGUAAGUUUAAUUUUUUUUUUUUUUUUUUUUUUUUUUUUUAGAUGGAAUCUCACUCUGUUGCCCAGACUGGAGUGCAGUGGUGCGGUCUGGGCUCACUGCAACCUCCGCCUCCUGGGUUUGGGUGGUUCUCCUGCCUCAGCCUCCUGAGUGGCUGGGACUACAGGUGCCCGCCACUACGUCCAGCUAAUUCUUUGUAUUUUUAGUAAAGACAGGGUUUUGCCAUGUUGGCUAGGCUGGUCUUGAACUCCUGACCUCAUGAUUUGCCCACCUUGGCCUCCCAAAGUGCUGGGAUUACAGGCAUGAGCCACCGUGCCCAGCCAGGUAAGUUUCAUUUGUAUGUAUUGUCCUGUGAUUAAUGGACCAGUGAAUAAUGAUUGUGAAUUGUUGGGAUUGUCUUACUAGCCUCAUUUGGCAAAUUUUGAUUAUCCCUUGUCCAUUAUACACAUUCCACCUUUUUUUAUUAAAGGAAAAACUACUCUUGAUGUAAAGAUGUUUAUUUUUUGCUAAUAAUGAGUUGGUAUUAAUUCCUAAGUACAUAAAGUUUACCAUAGAGUUAAAAAAAAAAAAGAAAGAAAGAAAGAAGGGCUGUACAGGCAACCCACCUAACAGCUUGUUAUCAGUGCAGCUUACAGGGACACUUCAAAAAGGACUGCACAAACAAAAGUAAGCCAUUCCCUCAUCCAUGUCCCUUGUGCUAGGGGGAUCACUGGAAGGCACACUGCCCCUGAGGGCGAAGGUCCUCUGGGCCUGAGGCCACUAACCAGAUGGUCUAACAACAUGACUGAAAGUGCCUGGGGCAGGUGCCAGCCCCUGCCAUCACCCCCACAGAGCCCUGGCUAAGCUUAAGCAUUGAAAGCCAGGAAACUAACUUCCUCCUGGACACUGGCAUGGCCUUCUGGGUUUUACUCUUCUGUCCUCCAGGUCUAUCACCAUCAAAGGGGUCCUAGAACAGCCAGUCACUAGGUGUUUCUCUCACCCCCUAAGUUGUGACAGGAGAACCUUAUUUUUCUCACAUGCCUUUCUUAUUAUGCCUAAAAGCCCUACUCCUUUACUAUGAAGGGACAUAUUAGCUAAAGCAGGGGCCAUUAUAUACUAGAAUACAGGAAAAGAAAUUUCUUUUCUCUUUCCUCUACUCGAGGAGGGAGGAGUUAAUCCUGAAGUCUGGGCAGAGGAAGGACAAUACAAAUGAGCAAAAAAGUUUAUCCAGUUCAAGUUAAAUUAAAGUAUCCUACCUCCUUUACCUAUCAAAGGCAAUACCUCAAACCAGAAGCCCAAAAAGGGUUACAAAAGAUUGUCAAAGACCUAAAAGCACAGGAAUUAUUAGUCAUGCAACAGUCC